AUUGAAGAGUUUGAUCAUGGCUCAGAUUGAACGCUGGCGGCAGGCCUAACACAUGCAAGUCGAGCGGUAACAGAUUGAUAGCUUGCUAUCAAUGCUGACGAGCGGCGGACGGGUGAGUAAUGCCUGGGAAUAUACCCUGAUGUGGGGGAUAACUAUUGGAAACGAUAGCUAAUACCGCAUAAUCUCUUCGGAGCAAAGAGGGGGACCUUCGGGCCUCUCGCGUCAGGAUUAGCCCAGGUGGGAUUAGCUAGUUGGUGGGGUAAUGGCUCACCAAGGCGACGAUCCCUAGCUGGUCUGAGAGGAUGAUCAGCCACACUGGAACUGAGACACGGUCCAGACUCCUACGGGAGGCAGCAGUGGGGAAUAUUGCACAAUGGGGGAAACCCUGAUGCAGCCAUGCCGCGUGUAUGAAGAAGGCCUUCGGGUUGUAAAGUACUUUCAGUUGUGAGGAAGGCAGUUAAGUUAAUAGCUUAGCUGUUUGACGUUAGCAACAGAAGAAGCACCGGCUAACUCCGUGCCAGCAGCCGCGGUAAUACGGAGGGUGCGAGCGUUAAUCGGAAUUACUGGGCGUAAAGCGCAUGCAGGCGGUCUGUUAAGCAAGAUGUGAAAGCCCGGGGCUCAACCUCGGAACAGCAUUUUGAACUGGCAGACUAGAGUCUUGUAGAGGGGGGUAGAAUUUCAGGUGUAGCGGUGAAAUGCGUAGAGAUCUGAAGGAAUACCGGUGGCGAAGGCGGCCCCCUGGACAAAGACUGACGCUCAGAUGCGAAAGCGUGGGGAGCAAACAGGAUUAGAUACCCUGGUAGUCCACGCCGUAAACGAUGUCUACUUGAAGGUUGUGGCCUUGAGCCGUGGCUUUCGGAGCUAACGCGUUAAGUAGACCGCCUGGGGAGUACGGUCGCAAGAUUAAAACUCAAAUGAAUUGACGGGGGCCCGCACAAGCGGUGGAGCAUGUGGUUUAAUUCGAUGCAACGCGAAGAACCUUACCUACUCUUGACAUCCAGAGAAUUCGCUAGAGAUAGCUUAGUGCCUUCGGGAACUCUGAGACAGGUGCUGCAUGGCUGUCGUCAGCUCGUGUUGUGAAAUGUUGGGUUAAGUCCCGCAACGAGCGCAACCCUUAUCCUUGUUUGCCAGCA
rnacentral:rRNA from 2 species